rnacentral:rRNA from 1 species
AUUGAACGCUGGCGGCAGGCCUAACACAUGCAAGUCGAGCGGCAGCGGGAAAGUAGCUUGCUACUUUUGCCGGCGAGCGGCGGACGGGUGAGUAAUGCCUGGGAAAUUGCCCAGUCGAGGGGGAUAACAGUUGGAAACGACUGCUAAUACCGCAUGCACCCUACGGGGGAAAGCAGGGGACCUUCGGGCCUUGCGCGAUUGGAUAUGCCCAGGUGGGAUUAGCUAGUUGGUGAGGUAAUGGCUCACCAAGGCGACGAUCCCUAGCUGGUCUGAGAGGAUGAUCAGCCACACUGGAACUGAGACACGGUCCAGACUCCCACGGGAGGCAGCAGUGGGGAAUAUUGCACAAUGGGGGAAACCCUGAUGCAGCCAUGCCGCGUGUGUGAAGAAGGCCUUCGGGUUGUAAAGCACUUUCAGCGAGGAGGAAAGGUUGAUGCCUAAUACGUAUCAACUGUGACGUUACUCGCAGAAGAAGCACCGGCUAACUCCGUGCCAGCCGCCGCGGUAACAC